rnacentral:tRNA from 1 species
GGGCGGGUAGCUCAGUGGUAGAGCGUCUCGCUUACAACGAGAAGGACAGAGGUUCAAUUCCUCUCCCGCCCA